rnacentral:rRNA from 1 species
CAUAUACCAUGAAUUUUUUGGUUAAAGUACCUUUUAGGUGGUCAAAUGACUAGGAUUAGAUACCCUAUUAGUCCACUCUUAAUUAACCUGGGUAGUAGUAUCGAAACCUAAAGAAUUUGGCGGUUUCUAAACCUACUAGAGGAACCUGCCCCAUAAACGACAAUCCACGAAAAAAUUCACCCGGGCUAGUUAUGCAGCUUAUAUACCGUCGUUUAGAGGACUAAAUAAAUAGAUCCUCUUAAAAGCUUAGGCUAAUAAAUCAGAUCAAGGUGUAGCUCAUGCCCGGGAGAGGGUGGGUUACAAUGAAAAUUUAUACGGAGCUUUUAUUUUAUGAUAGAAAAGAAGGUGGAUUUAGAAGUAAGACUUAAUAUACUGAAAAAGGCUCUCAGAAAUGUACACAUCGCCCGUCGCUCUCUUGUCCGAAGAGAUAAGUCGUAACAAAGUAGGUGGACCGGAAGGUCUAUCUCGAAAGA